UGGGGAAUUUUGGACAAUGGGGGAAACCCUGAUCCAGCCAUCCCGCGUGUGCGAUGAAGGCCUUCGGGUUGUAAAGCACUUUUGGCAGGAAAGAAACGUCAUGGGUUAAUACCCCGUGAAACUGACGGUACCUGCAGAAUAAGCACCGGCUAACUACGUGCCAGCAGCCGCGGUAAUACGUAGGGUGCAAGCGUUAAUCGGAAUUACUGGGCGUAAAGCGUGCGCAGGCGGUUCGGAAAGAAAGAUGUGAAAUCCCAGAGCUCAACUUUGGAACUGCAUUUUUAACUACCGGGCUAGAGUGUGUCAGAGGGAGGUGGAAUUCCGCGUGUAGCAGUGAAAUGCGUAGAUAUGCGGAGGAACACCGAUGGCGAAGGCAGCCUCCUGGGAUACCACUGACGCUCAUGCACGAAAGCGUGGGGAGCAAACAGG
rnacentral:rRNA from 1 species